GAGGGGAGGGGGAGACGAGAGGAGAGGAGAGGAGAAAUGGAGAAGCGGAGGGUGAGAAGAGGAGAGGGGAAGGAGGAGAGGAGAGUCGGAAGGACAGGAGAGGGGAGGGAGAGGGGCAGAAGGAGAGAAGAGGAGAGGGGGAGAAGAGAAGAGGAGAGGGGAAGAAGAGGGGUGGUUGAGAAGGGGAGAAGAGAGGGUGAGGAGAGGAGAAGAGAGGGAGAAGAAGAUAAGAGAGAGGGGGAGGGGAGGGUAAGAAGAGGAGAAGAGACGGGAAAGUAACUGAGCUCUUCAUUAAGGCCAUUCUACUGCCAAUGUUUGUCUUUGGAGAUUGCAUGGCGGAGUGCUUGAUUUAUCCAUCUGUCAGGAAGGGGAGUGGCUGAAAUAGAAUCCACUAAUUUGAAGGGGUGUCCACAUACUUUUGUAUAUAUAGUAUCUCCAGGCUCAAAGCGUCAGUCCACCAGCUGAACUCUCAGUCAGACUGGUGGAUGGGACCACUUCCUGUUCUGGGACAGUGGAAGUCUUCCACGAAGGAGAGUGGUUGGGUCUAUGUUCUGUGUUGUGGAGCAUGAGAGAUGUUAUGGUUGUGUGUAGAGAGCUGGACUGUGGGAAUCCUGUAGCUGAAUCUAGAGGACCUCUGGCUGAAGAUGGAA
rnacentral:lncRNA from 1 species